ACGGGAGGCAGCAGUGAGGAAUAUUGGUCAAUGGACGGAAGUCUGAACCAGCCAAGUCGCGUGAGGGAUGAAGGCCCUACGGGUUGUAAACCUCUUUUGCCGGGGGAUAAACCUGACCACGCGUGGUCAGCUGAAGGUACCCGGUGAAUAAGCAUCGGCUAACUCCGUGCCAGCAGCCGCGGUAAUACGGAGGAUGCGAGCGUUAUCCGGAUUUAUUGGGUUUAAAGGGUGCGUAGGCGGGAUGUUAAGUCAGCGGUGAAAGUUUGCGGCUCAACCGUAAAAUUGCCGUUGAAACUGGCGUUCUUGAGUGUAAACGAGGUAGGCGGAAUGUGACGUGUAGCGGUGAAAUGCUUAGAUAUGUCACAGAACCCCGAUUGCGAAGGCAGCUUACCAGCAUACAACUGACGCUGAGGCACGAAAGCGUGGGUAUCAAACAGGAUUAGAUACCCUGGUA
rnacentral:rRNA from 1 species